ensembl:lncRNA
UGAAAGCAGUGCAAAGUACUGUGGUAUAUGAACUGUAUAGCCAAAUUUUGGUUGACAUAUUUAUUUAAUUAAAAUAGUUGGUUGUCUUUCAGUUCUUUUCAGUUUUAGUAAACUUGAGUGCUUAAUUACGGUCAUCCACUGACACAACAAACCAAAGCACCUGUGCUGGAUGAGAACAAAACAGUCAUGUGAUUAAUUGUGCCCUGAAAUAGGCUUCUUAGUAGAGAUGAGAAAAAGACAGACUUGAAAACGAUGGGAGACUUGGUACAGAACCUUUGAGUUCAGAUGCCGGCUGAGACGAUGGGCGAUGGGUCUCAUGACUCAUGGCUGGACAACUGAAAGAGGGAAACUGUGAAAUGACUUCAAGAUCCAAAGAAGAGAGCUCUGGAGAACCAUGUGCCGUUUCCGUGAAAUUCCUCUUGGAAUCCCUCUUCAGUCAUGCACUCUAAGUGAGGACAAGAUCUAAAAAGACCAUCAAAAUCGACACAAACAUGGGCCACUGAGCACACAAUGUAGGUUCUGCCAUGGUCAUCCCAGUCCUCUGAUCUGAACCGUGUUAAAAACUAAAGAGGAGAGUGUAUCAGCAUAGACCUGGGUCUGGAG